GAAAGGUGGAAGAACCAUUAAGAGGUCUGACCUAAUAAAAGGGAGUUACCACCUCAGAAGUAACGGAUUCAUCCGGAGCACAGCAGCCAGGCAACGCUCUACAGAGAUUCCAAAGGCAGGAGGAUGGUCUCCAUGGGAACCAAGGGGGACUUUUCAGAAGAAAUGAGGGUUGACUGUUAUGUUACUUAAGGAAAAGGGGGUUAAGUCUUGGCAUCCCAGCCACAAAAUUCAUAUACAUAUAAGAUUCUCUUUUCCUCCAUACCUAUGCCCUGCCUCAAAGAAAGGAAGAAAGGAAAAAGAAAGAAAGAAAGAAAGAAAGAAAGAAAGAAAGAAAGAAAGGAAGGAAGGAAGAAAGAAAGAAGGAAGACAAAGAAAGAAAGGAAAUAAACCUGAAAAUUACAUCAAACCCCAUCUACAGAGAUUCACCACCUGUGAUCAUCACAUAGAAAGAGAAUCGUUAAGACUCUUUGCUACUCAUGAUCUUGAGAAACAGGAAGAUUCUACUAAAAAUACCCUGAGGUGCUGGAGCACAAGCCUGGGAAACAUAAGAAAGUUUGGGUAUCAGCAAGGAGACACCAGUGUGUAAAGGCAUCACCACAUGAAUGGAGCUACAAGAGAUGGCAAAUUCCAGUACGUUUCAGGAAGGAGCUGAGUCAAUGUUUCAUGUGCAGUUACACAUACAGGCUGACUUUUCACAUCCAGAAAUGAUCUAAAUAUGCUUCGUGGGAUUCAAAAUCAGCAUCAGCUCCUCUUAGCAAAAAUCGCUUUCAUCUCUCCAAGAGCUGCUUCUGUGGAAUGUGUGGUCAUUCUUUGCUAGAAGGCAUUUGGGGAAGCCACAUCAGCCUAAAUUCUCAUGAGAAUUCCUCUUGCCUGUCAGAUACUUUAUCUUCAAAGAAUGGCACUUGACUGUUACGGGAUCCCUCCAUCCUCCAUGACAAAAUGAGAAAGUAUACAUUGGUGUUUCAACUGCUUCAGUUAUUGAGGUGACAUUUUGUACCAUGUGAUGGGAUAGGAAUGUCAUCAUGUUUCAUCUGUAUUUGUGAAAUAAAAUGUGCAACCCUCAUUUUCACUGAAA
ensembl:lncRNA